rnacentral:rRNA from 1 species
CAGGCCUAACACAUGCAAGUCGAGGGGUAACAGGGGAAAGCUUGCUUUCCUGCUGACGACCGGCGCACGGGUGCGUAACGCGUAUGCAACCUACCUUCUACAGGGGGAUAGCCCAGAGAAAUUUGGAAUAAUACCCCAUACGAUCAAUGAUUGGCAUCGAUUAUUGAAGAAAACUCCGGUGGUAGAAGAUGGGCAUGCGUCCUAUUAGUUAGUUGGUGAGGUAACGGCUCACCAAGACAUCGAUAGGUAGGGGCCCUGAGAGGGGGAUCCCCCACACUGGUACUGAGACACGGACCAGACUCCUACGGGAGGCAGCAGUGAGGAAUAUUGGACAAUGGGGGCAACCCUGAUCCAGCCAUGCCGCGUGCAGGAAGACUGCCCUAUGGGUUGUAAACUGCUUUUAUACAGGAAGAAACCUACUUACGUGUAAGUAGCUUACGGUACUGUAAGAAUUAGGAUCGGCUAACUCCGUGCCAGCAGCCGCGGUAAUACGGAGGAUCCAAGCGUUAUCCGGAAUCAUUGGGUUUAAAGGGUCCGUAGGUGGUUAAUUAAGUCAGAGGUGAAAGCCAGCAGCUCAACUGUUGAACUGCCUUUGAUACUGAUUAACUUGAGUUAUUGUGAAGUAGUUAGAAUAUGUAGUGUAGCGGUG